GUACAGUAUAGCUCAGUCAGUAGAGCACGAGACUCUUAAUCUCAGGGUUGUGGGUUUGAGCCCCAUUUUGGGCA